rnacentral:rRNA from 1 species
AACGAACGCUGGCGGCGCGCCUAACACAUGCAAGUCGAGCGAUGCAACUGUAACUGAACCCUUCGGGGUGCAGAUAAAGUGGAUUAGUGGCGGACGGGUGGGUAACACGUGAGGAACCGGGUUCAGACAUUGGGAUAGCUCCGGGAAACCGGGAUUAAUACCAAAUAAAAGCACAAUGACACAUGUCAUAACGAUCAAAACUCAGGUGGUCUAAGAUGGACGCGCGUCCGAUUAGCUAGUUGGUAGAGUAAAAGCCUACCAAGGCGACGAUGGGUGGCAGGGCUGAGAGGAUGAGCGGCCACACUGGAACUGAGAAACGGUCCAGACUCCUACGGGAGGCAGCAGUGGGGAAUAUUGCACAAUGGGGGGAACUCUGAUGCAGCGACGCCGCGUGAGCGAGGAAGGCUUUCGAGUCGUAAAGUUCUUUUAUAUGGGAAGAUAAUGACGGUACCAUAAGAAUAAGCCCCGGCUAACUCCGUG